AAAGAAAGGAAAAAAAGGAAGAAGAAAGAAAGAAAAAAGAUAAAUCGAUAUCAACGGUAUCAUGUUCUAAUUUCCCUUUCUUAUAAUACCUUUCAGAAAAUUGCAAAUACUUCUUUGAGGAUUGUCUUAAUAAUAUAUUGUAAGUUUCAUUUUUAUUAUUUUUAUUCUUAUUUUAACAUAAAAUAGCAUAACAUUGGACAAGAUAGUCAAGUACAACAUGCAUCAAUGUGAUCAUGGGUUUAGUUAAUUGGACUGCUCGGAAUUUCUUUCAAAAUCUAACCAUAAAUAUUUGUUAAGUGUGUUGGUUGAGUGUGUUAUUAUAUUGUGUUAUUAUUUUCCAUUACGAAACUUCCUUUUACAUGCCAUUUGACAAGGAUGUACAAUGUGUACGCACUAGUCACUAGCAUUAAAAUAUUGAAAGUUGACUUGAAAUCCAUGAGCAGAAUUUUAGGUUUC
rnacentral:misc_RNA from 1 species